rnacentral:tRNA from 1 species
UGUGGCUUAGUGGUAGAGAGUUUGCCUAGUAUGCAGAAAGCCCUGGGUUCAAUUCCCAGUACCACAA